GGUUCAGGAUGAACGCUAGCUACAGGCUUAACACAUGCAAGUCGAGGGGCAGCAUGGGAGUUGCUUGCAACUUCUGAUGGCGACCGGCGCACGGGUGAGUAACGCGUAUCCAACCUUCCCCUUAGUAGGGCAUAGCCCGUAGAAAUGCGGAUUAAUACCCUAUGUUCUUCGAAGCGGUCAUCCAAUUUGAAGCAAAGAUUCAUCGCUAAGGGAUGGGGAUGCGUCCGAUUAGGUUGUUGGCGGGGUAACGGCCCACCAAGCCAUCGAUCGGUAGGGUUCUGAGAGGAAGGUCCCCCACAUUGGAACUGAGACACGGUCCAAACUCCUACGGGAGGCAGCAGUGAGGAAUAUUGGUCAAUGGGCGAGAGCCUGAACCAGCCAAGUAGCGUGCAGGAUGACGGCCCUAUGGGUUGUAAACUGCUUUUAUCAGGGGAUAAAGUGACCCACGUGUGGGUUUUUGUAGGUACCUGAUGAAUAAGGACCGGCUAAUUCCGUGCCAGCCGCUGC
rnacentral:rRNA from 1 species